GUGGGGAUAGGUGAGUGGAGAGGAGAGG
rnacentral:tRNA from 1 species